rnacentral:lncRNA from 1 species
UUUGUAAAGGUUCGGUCGCCGCCUUCAAGGGCACCUAUAGUGGAAUCACGGUACCUUGCAUCGUGCGAGGGCGUGAGGAGAAUACGGUGGCCUUAGUGGCUUUUUGGGGAGCAUUGUGCCUCCACACCGCUCCAACGGAGACGUACUUCCUGUCAAAGGGAAGGAACUUCGGUAACACAUCCUCGUCUCCAUCGGUUCCACUUGUGGUUAUCUCUAUCCUUUACUUUGUAUUUGCUUUUGCUUGUGACUAUAUCUUAGUAGUCUUAAUAGCUCUCGUUGUUAGCUUCUAUAGGGUUCACCUCAUUGUCAUAUUAUUUGUGAACCCGUAUAGUGUUUACCUUAACUUGCUAAGAUUAAUUAAAAAGUGGUCGUUGUCUAUUCACCCCCCCCCCUCUAGCCAACCAUAUCGAUCCUUUCAAUUGGUAUCAGAGCCACGUCUCUUUAUUAAGGGUUUAACCACCCGAAGAGUAUGGAAGGCGAAGAGGAAGUGAACCAUGGGCAACCCGAGGGCAUGGACUUGACUUCGGUCACAAGGGACGACUUGAAUACGGCUAUGGCAGCCCUCAAGACGUCCUUGACGAGCGAAGUCAAAACCAUGCUUAAGGAAUUAAUUGACGGUCUUAGAAGUUCACCCGAACCGGCUUUAGUGGUUAAACCCACCAUUUCCGAUUCGGAGGCCAACUCCUCUAAGGAAGCGGCUAAAGGUAUGCAACCUGCUUCACCUCACGAAAAGGAUGGGACUGGAACACAUGCCUCUGUUCCACCUCCCAUGACUUAUGGAGGACCCGUUCUCGCACCUCGUCUUAAUCCGGUUGGUCCUCCUCCUAAACUUGUGAAAGGUGACUUUGCUAACUGGGUAUUUUCUAUUAAGUCUCAUUUGAAUCACAGCUCAACAAACUUGUGGAGAAUUAUCGAGCAAGGAUAUUACCCCCAUGACCCAAGCAACCUCACUCCAAGAGAAGAUGCAGACAAUCAAUAUAAUCACUCUGCGUUGUUUAUCCUUCAGUCUGUUGUGCCACCUGAAGAUCUUCCCCACUUACGUCCCUUCACAUUGGCCAAGGAUUGUUGGGAGCAUAUUAUGGUGUUGUAUAAGGGAAGCUCAAGUAUUCAACGAUCCAACUAUGAAGUGAUACUUGAUCAGGCCGAUGAGUUUGUGAUGAAGGAAGAAGAGGACCCUCGUGAUCUCUAUCGGAGGGUGACUGCUAUUGCCGUGGCACUAAAGGAUCAUGGAAGUAAGGAUGUGGAUGACACUUGGGUCAAAUGCAAGUUUCUCAAAGCCAUCAUGCCUUUCAACAAAGCCAUGUCAUCUGUCAUUCGUCAGCGGCCAGACUUUCACUCUUUGUCUUCCAGUGAAGUGUUGGAUGAGUUCAUUGCAAUGUCAAUCAUGAACGAAACUGCCGACAAUGCACUUGCUCGUGUCCGAUCAAAAAUCUCUUCACCCAAACUUGCGUUGAAAGCAAGAGUAAUGCUUGAAGAAGAAGAAGAAGAUGCGGAAGAGGAGAGCUGCCCGGAAGACACAAAGUAUGCCUAUCAUGAGCACAUGGCUCUUGCAUCAAGGCAAUUCUGGGGAAAUAAAAGGAACUCAAGACCAACCUUCAACAAGAACAACUCAAGUGGUUUCAAACCCAAACAACGAGUAAGGACAUGCUAUAACUGUGGCAACGUGAGUCACUUCGUGGCAGAAUGUCCAUAUGAGAAGAGAGAAGACAAUGGAGGCAAGCUCAUUCGCAAAGACAAAACCAAAUCAUUUCCAAUCAAGAACAACUUUGUGAAGAAACCUCACCCAAAAGGAAUGGUGGCCCUGGAGGAGUAUCCUUCUGAUGAUGAUGAUGAUGAUGAUACAAUGGCAACGGCAACUGUUGCUAUAGCCACUACCCCUUCCCAGAAGGUGUCUCUUUUCAACGCCCCCAACGAGAACCACAUCACCAAGUGCCUCAUGGCAAAAGGUACCAAUCAGGUAACUUCUAUCAUUAAGACCAACAUUACUUCUACUCCUUCAUUGUUAAAUUGUGUAGAAGAUAGUGAUGUUGGAGAACUUAAUGAACAUGAUCUUGAUAAGUUUCUAUGCACUAUUAAGGGAGAAACCAAGAAGCAUUUUGUUGCUCUCUUGGAACAAUUGGGUGAGGCCACUGACCUUAUUGAGUCUCAUGACGAGACCAUCUCCGAGCUUCAUGGACAUAGUCGUGACUAUGCCGAUGAAAUUGCCGAAUUAUCUAGUACUCUUGAAGAAGAGCGCACUCUUCGUCUGGCUCUUGAGGAGUCAUAUAACGAUGACUGCACUAAAAUGCAAAAGAAACUGGAUCAUGAUGUUGUUCUUACUCGCAUGCUUAAAUAUGAAAAGUAUGCUCUUGAGGUUGGCCGUGACAGACUCAAAGAAGAGUUUGACAUACUUGACAAGGCCCACAAAGCCUUGAAAGGUGUUCAUUUCGCUCUGAAAGAGUCUCAUGAUCAACUCCAAGCAAAGCUUACCAAGGAGAUCUCUACUUGUCCUCCCUUUGUGCUAAUUGAUAAUACUUGUGCAACUAACCCUUGUUGUGAGCAUGUUCACCUUGUGGAAGAAAAUGCCAAGUUAAAGGAGAAACUUGAGAAGGGCCUUGUGUCAUGCAGACAAGGUGAGAAGAGUCUGAACGAUCUCUUGAGCACUCAAAAGGGUGUCGUAGGAAAGGAAGGAAUUGGACUUACCUCCAAGUCAAAAGGUAAAAGGAAGAACAAGAGCAAACGAUCUCUCACCCUCAUGGACAUCUUUGUCAAGGAGGGUGAGGGUACUCAGAAGGUGAACAGGAACAAGGUGGACUAUGGGAACCUCAAGAAGGGCAAAGCCGCUCCUACUAACACAGCCGGCAAACUCAAUUCCUCUUAUGUGUUAUGUUGUGCUAGUGAUGGGCAUGUUUAUGCCAGAUUUAUUGGUUCCUACGAUGAAGAUAUUGAAUGGGCUAUCUGGGUUCCUAAGACCCUUGUCUCUAACAUGAAAGGACCCAUUAAAAAAUGGGUACCUAAAACCAAGCCUUGAUCUAUUGCAGGAGUUUGCUUCCGGUGGGGUGUCAUGGUUGCUCGAUAGUGGAGCAACAAAUCAUAUGACCGGAAGCAAGGACUUAGUGGUGGAUGUGCACCCUUCUCCAUCUAUGCCUACCCAUGUCCAAUUCGCUGAUGCAUCCUCGUCAAAGGUAUUGGGAUUUGGUAAGGUGGUCAUCUCUCAAGAUUUGUCUAUUGAGAAGGUCAUGCUUGUUGAGUCUCUUGCCUACAAUUUACUUUCCGUUCGUCAACUUGCAAUCAUGGGUUUUUCCACAUUCUUUAAUAUUGACACUGUGGUCCUCCUAAGGAGCAAGACUCUCAAAGUAGCCUAUGUUGGACAUGUCGAAAAUGGUCUCUAUGUGGUAAACUUUUCAAAGCGACCCACUAAGACUGCGACAUGUCUAAUGGCUAAAGUUGACGUGGGCUGGCUUUGGCAUCGCCGUUUAGCUCAUGUCAAUAUGAGGUCUUUGCAAAGUCUUCUGACAGGGGACCAUGUUCGUGGACUAACAAAUGUGAGCUUUGCUAAAGAUCGUGUUUGCAGUGCUUGCAUUGAAGGAAAGAUUCAUGAAACUGCUCAUCGUCCAUCAACUCUUAUCUACACUAAGAGGCCAUUGGAACUUCUUCACAUGGAUCUGUUUGGUCCUCCAACAUUCGAUAGUCUUGGAGGCAGAAAGUAUUGCUUAGUAAUUGUUGACGACUACUCAAGAUAUACCUGGGUAUAUUUCUUCAAAAGGAAGAGUGAAACACAACAAACGGUCAUCAACUUUGCCAAUGAAGCGCAACGUCAAUAUGAAGCAAAGAUUUUGAUGAUUAGGAGUGACAACGGCACCGAGUUCAAGAACUAUACCCUAGAUGAGUUUCUAGGUGAUGAGGGAAUAAAGCACCAAUAUUCUGCACCAUAUACCCCUCAGCAAAACGGCAUGGCAGAAAGAAAGAACCGGACCUUGAUAGACGCUGCAAGAACAAUGAUGGCAGAAUUCAAAUCUCCAUACAACUUCUGGGCAGAGGCCAUCAACACAGCAUGUCAUGCGUCCAAUCGGCUCUACAUCCGCAAAGGCUUGAACAAGACUCCGUAUGAGAUUCUAACUGGAAACAAACCCAAUCUCAAGUACUUCCGGGUAUUCGGUUGUAAGUGUUUCAUUCUUAAAAAGGGAGCUCGGUUAGCUAAAUUUGACUCUAGAGCACAUGAGGGUAUCUUUGUUGGUUAUGCUACAAACUCUCAUGCUUACCGUGUCCUCAACAAGUCCACCGGACUAAUUGAGGAGACGUGUAACGUGGAGUUUGACGAAAAUAAUGGCUCCCAAGUGGAGCAAAGUGGUCUUUGUGAUAUAGGUGAUGAAAUUCCUCCCGAAGCCAUAAGAAGAAUGGGGAUUGGUCAAAUACUCCCCAUUGAGGAACCCCUUAUGGCCGAAGGAGAAGGACAAUGCUCUACUCAAGUGGAGCCAUCACCCCCACAAGCCCCACACGCUUCCGAUGAACAAAGAGAAGACUCUCAACAAGUUGAUCAAGCUCUCGGUCAAGAUCAAUUGUCUAACAAUGGUGAUAUGCCCACUCAAGCACUGCCCCAAGACCUUGAACCAACACGAGAUCAAGAUCAAGAGCAACCACUAAUACAAGAUCAACCUAGUGAACCUGCUCAAGUCGAAGGACAAAGUGAUCAGGAGACUGUCUCACAAUUCCCUUCUGGAGCUCAAACAACCGGCUCAAGACGCAAGGGCAAACAAAAGAUACAAGUCGAUGCUCCUCUGUUAUCUAAUGAAGAACUCUUGGAGCGUCGAGCAGCCAAGAAUGCGAACAAGCUGAAAGCCAAGUCACAUCUUAUGAAGAAUGUUCUUGGUAGUUUAAAAAGGGGAGUAUCUACCCGUCAACAACUUUGGAAUUAUUGUGAGCAUCACGCGUUUGUCUCGUAUUGUGAACCUCAACAGGUACAGGAAGCGCUCGAUGAUGAGGAUUGGCUUAUGGCCAUGCACGAAGAACUUAACAACUUCGAGCGCAACCAAGUAUGGGAUCUAGUGCCACGACCAACGAAGGAACAUAAUGUCAUCGGGACCAAAUGGAUAUUCAAGAACAAGCAAGAUGCAAAUGGAAUUGUGAUUCGAAACAAGGCAAGAUUGGUGGCUCAAGGCUACUCCCAAGUCGAGGGUAUCGACUACGGUGAAACCUUUGCCCCUGUCGCUCGUCUAGAAUCUAUUCGCAUGCUACUUGCUUUUGCCUCUCAUCAUAACUUCAAAUUACAGCAAAUGGAUGUGAAAAGUGCAUUUCUUAAUGGUCCUUUAAAUGAGUUGGUAUAUGUCAAACAACCCCCGGGAUUCGAACAUCCCAAGCUCCCAAAUCAUGUGUACAAACUCAAUAAGGCACUCUAUGGUCUUAAACAAGCCCCACGCGCGUGGUAUGAGUACCUUACUGAGUUGUUACAAGAUCGUGGGUUUGAAAUUGGGAAGAUUGAUCCCACUCUUUUUACUAAGAGGGUUAAAGGGGAUUUGUUCAUAUGCCAACUAUAUGUUGAUGAUAUUAUCUUUGGCUCUCCUAACAUUUCAUUCAAUGAAGAAUUUGCCGCGCUAAUGACUGAGAAGUUUGAGAUGUCCAUGAUGGGAGUGUUGAAGUUUUUUCUCGGAUUCGAGAUUAAGCAAGGUCUAGAAGGGACAUUCAUCAAACAAGCCAAGUACACUCAAGACAUGCUCAAACGGUUCGAGCUCGAAGAUGUCAAACCGGUCAAGUUUCCCAUGCCAACCAGAUGCAAGCUUGCAUGCNNNNNNNNNNNNNNNNNNNNNNNNNNNNNNNNNNNNNNNNNNNNNNNNNNNNNNNNNNNNNNNNNNNNNNNNNNNNNNNNNNNNNNNNNNNNNNNNNNNNGAAUUCUUUUUUAUGUCCUAGCUCAAUGAAUUUAUUUGAAAGAAUGCUUAAUAUUGAAUAAUUCAUGUUAUAUGGUUCUGAAGGAGACGAUGUCCAUACUUCCACCGGACGCUUGCCAAGGAGCAUCUCUUGUUUGUUUUUUCUUCCCAUUGAAAAGGUGGAAAUGAAACAUACAACUACUUGCAGUGACGAAUCCUCACGGUGUAAAUAAUAUUUCUACUUCUUACAUACUCCCUUCAUUCCGUACUAUAAGUCGUUUUGGCUUUUCCGACAAUCUCCAAAAACCAGCAAAAUGACAUGUUUUACCCCUGUUUCAGAAUACACACGCAAAGCGAUUGCAACAGAUAAAUUCAGAAGACGCAACCACGAUGGCAAAGAAGAGCGCGGCGAGAUAUGCCAAUGCAUUGUCGCAAAUCUUCCUUGAUGAUGAUAUAUUCCAAUGACCUUUAUCCAAUUCGUGAGUUUCAGAGGUAAUGGAUGGAACAAUUAUAGAGUUUGUUAUUCAAAUAAAGAAUAGAGGGCUAGACGAUCCUGGUUGAAGAAGUGGAAACAACAGAAGAUAUUGUUUGUGAAUAAAUCAACAAUUAUAUAUCCAAUUAGUUCUUGUAAGUAAAAUAUCGAAGCUGGAACUACAGGUCUUACAACUGUACGGCCUAAAAGACUUAUUAAACAUCAGAAACCAUGAGACUUGUAUCAUUGAAAGAAGUUUAUACUACAUGAUACGAGCUCAUAGACAGUGAUAAUCAGAGAACACGCAUAGAAGGACCACGACAUGCGAGCAGGAGGUUGGAGAUUGAGGAGGCUACUAGUGGAGCCGAAGAAGAUUAGGGGCGACUGGCGGGAGUAGAACACCCGUCGCCGGCUAAAUCAGCUCGAACCAAGGCUAGGAUAGGACAUUAAUAGAAACAAAUUAUGGGGCAACAUUCAACAUCAUUCCAAACUUCUAGGGAAGAACCUGCGCAAGGUUAAUGGUAGAUUGUUUUUAAUAUUUGAAUCUUGUAAGAUGAACGAAUCUUCCUAGAUUCUCCACAUCAAAUUUUUAACGCAACACUAAUGCUUCAGUUUCAUAAAUUUUCUAAUGCUUGAACCUAUCAGACUAAAGCAAUGCCUAAUAUUGAGGACUCAAUAACAAUUUUUAAAGGUAACAACUCAGGCAUACAUCCAAUGACAACAUAAGUGUCAUGUUCGCAUAAAAGAGCAACAUACCUUAAACAACACAAGCCUUGGAGAAUGCCUCGACAACUAUUGUUUUCCUGUCUUCCCUCACUUGUAUCUACGAAUCCCACAGCUUGCUUUCUAGGAAAAUGGUGCACAACUGGAACAAACCUAACCCUAGUGCCAAUCGGGUGGCUUCUUUGGCUGGCUGUUGCACCAUCUCCCAAAGAAGCAUAAGCUGACCCUUCUCAGUGCACAUUCCCAACAGAGCCUAGCCCAUGGAUUCUUGGUCAGCCUCCAGCACCUCCAGUUUCAUGUAUAGCGUCUUAAUGCCUGGCUCCUGUCAUCGUCGUACUUAUCCAAGACUCUGGUUGUAGGAGCUGACACACCUUGAUGCACCUUGAUGAUCAUGUAGACCAUGUCAUUGCCACUUCUAGCACCAUCACCUUGUUGAUCAUGUAGACCAUGUCGUUGCUAUUGCUAGCACCAUCGGCGUCACUUCCCCCUUCUUCAAGGCCAUAUCCAGCAAUGGGCGACUCUGGCAAUCAUGUAGACCAUGUCAUUGCCACUGCUAGCACCAUCACCUUGUUGAUCAUGUAGACCAUGUCGUUGCUAUUGCUAGUACCGUCGGCGUCACUUCCCUCUUCUUCAAGGCCAUAUCCAGCAAUGGGCGACUCUGGCAACUCAUCAUCAUUACAGAGGUGGCUCUUUCUUCCGCAAUCUCCUCAUGUAACAUCUCGUCAUCACAAAAUCCGUGUGUUUCCUGCCCACUCGACUCCAGAAAUUCCUCAUCUACAUACUGGUGGGCGCCAUCAUCUUCCUC